AGAAAGUUUGAUUUUUGCUUAUUUAUUUUGCACUGAGGAUUUAAUAAGUUAAAGGUAAUAUAUGGAAGUUUAGCUAGUUCUUAAAAAAUUAAAUUGUUCAAUAUAUAAGACUAAACUAUUAACGAAAGUUAGAUUUGGUAAUUCUAAUUAGUUCUGGUUAAAUUUUGUGCCAGCAGCCGCGGUUAUACUUUGAGAACGAGCAAGAUUUAUUGGAUAUGAAAUAGAUAGUUAAUGAAAUAAAAAGGUUUAAUCUAGACUUAUAAAAGGUGAAAUUGUUUAUGUUUUGUAAAAAUCUUUAUUUUUCAAUUAAUUAAUUCAUUGAAAUUAGAAAAUAGACUAGGAUUAGAUACCCUAUUAUACUUAAAUAAAACAUUAUCCUUAUCACUAAAAGUUAUUUUCUUAAAAAUAAAAAAAUUUGGCGGUGUUUAAUUUAUUUAGGGGAACCUGUUUUUUAAUCGAUAAACCACGCAGAAUCUUACUUGUUUCAGCAUUUUGUAUACCGUUAUUAUUAGAUAACUUUUAAAGAAUAAGAUAUUAAAAUUUUAGUUUAAAGUAUAUUAGAUCAAGGUGCAGAUAAUAAACAAGAAAAAAUGGGUUACAAUAACUUUGGAUUAUUAUGGAUUAGUAGAUGAAACUGCUGUAAUGAAGGCGGACUUAAUUGUAAUAAAAUUUUAAUAAGUUUUAAUGAUAUAAACACUUAAACAUGUACAUAUCGCCCGUCGCUUUUACAUCUUAAUGUAAAAUAAGUCGUAACAUAGUAGCUGUAUCGGAAGAUGCAGCUAGUUUUUC
rnacentral:ncRNA from 1 species